CUCACCAGGUCAGGACACGGUAAGGAUUGACGGACUGAAGGCUCUUUCUCGAUUCCGUGGAAAGUGGUGCAUGGCCGUUUUGGUUGGUGGAUCGAUCCGUCUGGUUAAUUCCGUUAACGAACGAGACCUCGGCACUCCGAAUAGCGCGGCGGACGUCGCGGCCUCCGGGCCGUCUUCCGCACGAGCUUCUUAGAGGGACCGUCCCCCGCCGGGGAAGGAGGUGCGAGGCAACGACAGGUCUGUGAUGCCCUUAGAUGUUCUGGGCCGCACGCGCAUUACACUGACGCGUCCAACGGGUGACUCCCGACCCGAAGGGGCCGGGGAAUCCGCAAGGCGCGUCGUGAUGGGGAUUGAACGUUGCAAUUGUUGUUCACGAACGAGGAAUUCCUAGUAGGCGCGGGGUCAUCAACCCG
rnacentral:rRNA from 1 species